CAUGAGUUUCGCCUCCCCGCAAACCAGAAAAAUACCAACCUCCCCAAUGCCAAGGCUGCUGACCAAGAAGCUGUAAGAAAAAAAAUAAACUACUCAGAAAUAUAUACACACAUGAAUUAAUUGUUUGUUUGACAAUUACAUGUUUUUCUUUGUGAGGUUGCAGGAAAUAUGGACACUAUGUCGAAUUUUCAAGCGAGAUGUGUCGUACAGAAAGUACACACCAGAUUGGAGAGAAUCAUCUGCUAGACACAAUCCAGUGAAUGCAAGAACUAAAACAUGCGAUGCGGAUUCGGAAAACUUGGAAUAUUACAAUAUUAGUUUUGGAGCUUCAGCUGCUCUUGAUGAUGAGAAGAAGCCUGUUGUUGGUCACAGUAUGGAUGGAAGGAUCCAGUUGCAUGUAGGUUCAGAGCCGGAGUCAUGCUCAACUGUUUUGAGUGAGGAAGCUAGGGAGUUCUUUACAAAUGGGAAUUGGGAUGAGAUUGUAUCAGCCAUGGAUUUUGCUUUUGAUCCAUAUCAUCUGUGAAUAACUAUGGAAUUUGCUUGUAGCUGAAUUCACCUUGCACUUCUAUUUUUUAAAUUAAGGCUAUAUUUGGUUUCAAAAUAUUCGACUAAAAAUUAUGAGGGAAGGAAAAUAGAGAGUAAAAGUUGAAGAAAAGAAAAAGUUCAAGAAAACUAAAAAAUAAAUUCAAAGUCAAUAAAUUAUUUCUAAAUACUUCUUCAAAUUCAUUUAACUUAUUUUCCUCUAUUAUAUAAAGAUUAAAUAAUUUUAAAAUGUAUAAAUUUUUAAUUAAUUUUAAUUAGAUUUUAUUUUCUUUCAUAUUUUUUCAUAAUGAAACCAAAUAUUAUAAGAUUUUUCGUAACACUUUUUUCUUUCCUUAGUACUUUUCGGAAAUGAACAUAACCUAAAAUAUUAUACUAAUUAUUAAGAAACUUUACUAGACCAAACAGAUCUAUAAUACUCUAUAAAAAAUUAUUAGGGAAUAAAUAUAAUAACUCGCAUUUAAUUGUAUAGAUAUUAUUCGCUCUGGGCCUAAAGAGACCCAUAUGACUUUAAAAUAUGUCUACAAGGUUAAGAGGAGUUCAUAUUUAUAUAAUGACAUAAACUUUUUCUCCUAUUUGAUAUGAGACGUUGCAAACAUCUCCCAUGUAAACACAAUAUUAUUGUUAUGUCCCAUGGGAUUAUAAGACCAAAUAAACUGACACCCCUCACGGGGCCAAACAAACUCUCACACCAGGGUCAAGAAUCGGCUUUGAUGUCAUUUAUAACGACUCGUAUCCAAUCGUAUAGAUAUUGUUUGCUUUGAGCCCAAAUGGGCUAUUACGACUUUAAAAUACGUCUAUAAGGUUAAGAGAAGUUUAUACUUAUAUAGUAUUAAAAGCUUUAUCCCUUAUUCAACAUGGGACAUCAUAAUAAAUGUAUAUUUGUAAUAAACUAUUGACUUAUUUGUUUUUAUUUCGUUCCAUUCAUUUUUUAAAAUUUUUUGUUCCAUUCAUUCUAAUUUAAGAUUACGUUACUUUGAUUUAUAAUUCCUAUGAAGACUUAUGGUUAAAACAAAAUCUUCGAGAAUUAUAUCGAUAAGCAUGGUUGAAUUAAUUGGAAAUAAUGAUCUAAAAGACAUAAAAUACACUUAUAUGGAAAUUGGAAAUGAAGUGAACUUGGAAAACAAUUUUAGUUCAAUGCUGUACAUUAAGAAAAAGGAGACUGGGUGUUUAAAAUUUGAGAAAAAUAGAAAUCUUAAUUAGAGCACUAAAGCACCCUCAAGGGUGCUCUCAUCGCUCAAGUGGCCUUAGUAGGUGCUUAGUGCUUGAGAUAGGAUUGCCUAAAUUUACCAAGUUUCCAAAAUUUCUCCGAGAUCCUAAUUUCUAUUUGGGUAAAAUUUGAUUUCUAUUUAAACCUCCAUUUAUGUUUUUAUGUGAUCGCAGCAUAAAAAAGAAAGUCUGAAUUUUCCAUAGAAGCCAGCUCGAAAUAUUUGAUCUUAGGUGCAUUUCCCUCUGGAAUAUUUUUGUUUGGGUAUAUGACCGGACAACUACCGAUAUCUAUUAAUAUCUUUUCUUAGAAUGUUGUUGUUAAAUAUAUAAUUAUCUAUCUAUUUCGUAAACUAUCAGAUCGGGUUUAGAUGUGAAACUUGCAGACCUCAUUGGUUGUGAUAUUGAUCUUACGGGGGGGAACGAAAUCAAAGAAUAUAGAGACUUGUAGAAACCCUCUAUGUAGUUCUCUAUCUAGGGCGAUCGAUCUACAUCUUUCCCCAUAGCCCUGGGGCUAUGUCUCGAUCUUCUACGUGCGAAAUCUGAGGGACUAGUUCCUAUGGAGAUUCCGCUUGGUCUAAUUCCACGCCUUAUGACGAAAGGGGAGUCGACGUGGCGUAAAGUGAAGAUUGAGGGGAGUAGAGCAAAAUUCCCUUCUGGGUCUUCCGAAGGUGUAACCUAGGCAACGAAAAAGGGGCCCGAUACUUCAACUAGAGGAGCGACCAGUUGGUUCACCAAACCCCGACCCAGCGUCACACGUUCUCCAGGCCCGAGGGGAUCCAGUGCCUAACUACCGACUCCUCUUGGAAUUGCGUUAUCGGAGCCGAGCCAGGAAUGGCCGUUAGUGGACACCCACCACUUUUCACAGGUUAGAGAGGCCCUCUUUAAUACAUGAAGAAAAGAUGUUCAUAGGGGCUAGAAAGACUCGGUCAUAGGAACUUAGACCACCUACGCGCUGGUAAACGAAAACCACCUCGACCCGAUCAGAGUAAACAACAAUGUCAAAUCAGGUUUUUCUUCCUUGAAAGAAUUCACACGCGGCCACCAGCUUUCCCAAAAUAAAGGGAGAUUCGCUGCUUACUGCUCAUGAAAACAUUCGACCUAUACUUAUAGUCAAGUCGUUCGCGUAUCCUUUUGAUCUCCUUUCCUUCUAUUCAUCAUAUUUUUGGCUUUGACCAAUUCAAAGUGAAAAAUGGGGUUGAUGAUGUUGGCUAAAAAGGAGGGAGGGGAUCCGUAUAUGUUGUUCAGGUUGAUCAAAGGGUGCAGAAAUAGUGUCUAAUGUAGAGCAAUUUUUCUUUACGCAAAGGUGGUGUUUGUUUUUUGGCUGAAUAGAAAAAGCCAAAAUAUUUGGCUUUUUCUAUUCAGUUAAAAGUAACCCUCUGACAUCAUUCAAUACAAUUAAAUUGAACUUAUUUGAUAACAAAUUAAUUUUAACUAUGUUCGAUGAUGUCAACACACAACUUUUACCUAAAUAGAAAAAGCCAAANNNNNNNNNNNNNNNNNNNNNNNNNNNNNNNNNNNNNNNNNNNNNNNNNNNNNNNNNNNNNNNNNNNNNNNNNNNNNNNNNNNNNNNNNNNNNNNNNNNNUUUAAAAGUCAUAUGGGUCUCUUUAGGCCCAGAGCGAAUAAAUAUCUAUACAAUUAAAUGCGAGUAUUAUAUUAUUCCCUAAUAAUUUUUUAUAGAGUAUAUAGAUCUGUUGGGUCUAGUAAAGUUUCUUAAUAAUUAGUAUAAUAUUUUUAGGUUAUGUUCAUUUCCGAAAAGUACUAAGGAAAGAAAAAAGUGUUACGAAAAAUCUUAUAAUAUUUGGUUUCAUUAUGAAAAAAUAUGAAAGAAAAUAAAAUCUAAUUAAAAUUAAUUUAAAAAUUUAUACAUUUUAAAAUUAUUUAAUCUUUAUAUAAUAGAGGAAAAUAAGUUAAAUGAAUUUGAAGAAGUAUUUAGAAAUAAUUUAUUGACUUUGAAUUUAUUUUUUAGUUUUCUUGAACUUUUUCUUUUCUUCAACUUUUACUCUCUAUUUUCCUUCCCUCAUAAUUUUUAGUCGAAUAUUUUGAAACCAAAUAUAGCCUUAAUUUAAAAAAUAGAAGUGCAAGGUGAAUUCAGCUACAAGCAAAUUCCAUAGUUAUUCAGCCAAAAAACAAACACUACCUAAGUCUUACUUCAUUAUCUUUGUACUUAACCCGACUCUCUCAAGAAGUAUCUUUUUGUUCAUGAGCUUCAACUAAUAAAAUCAUACCACCUCAAGGAGUUGAAGAAUCCACUAAGGAGCACAGGGGUGCUACGUUGUAAGCAAAAAAUAGGUAAAGUUGGUGACAAUGUAUUUAUGAGGGAGUAACAAUUACGAAAUAAAUUUGUGUACGUGCUUCUUCAAAAUUAAUGGAUUAUAGUUUUACGGUUUGAUUUUUCCAUGUAAAUCACUUAUGUACUUGUGUGAUUAAAAUUAUUAGAUUAAUAAUUAAAGAACCCAUUUAAGAAAUUUUAAUCUUUGGGUUAAAUGGAGAAAUACUACUUAUUUUAUAUGUAUAAUACUAAUUAACUUUUUCUAAAUUAAUAUUAAUAUUUUUUAUAUCUAAAAUUUAUUUCAAUUUAACAAUGCCUAAACUGUGUCAAAUUGAAAAACAAGCAAAACAUAAUUUCAAGAAGGCGAUUCGAACUUUGUCAAAUUUAUUUCAGAAUUAUUUAUGAUAAUCAUAAGGAAAAGAAACUAGAAUUUAAUAAUUUAUAAAAUCUUCACCAUAUAUACAUUUUAUUAUAUUUUUUUUCAAUAAAAUUUACUAUCUUUCUCAUAUAUAUUUUAUAAGUAUUUUGUUUAUUUGUUACAGUAUUGAUUAUUAUAAAUAGAUAUAUUUUUUAUAUUUGAACAAUUUAGUUGAUUAAUCAUAAGUAUAUUAAAAUAUUUUAAUCAAUAUCACUUUAAAAUAAAAGUAAAACGAAAUUUAAAAAAUGAUAAACAAAUGUAAUAUAAUAAUUAAACCAUAUACAAUGUAGAAGAAGUAUUUUAUUAUUAUUAGUGGUGAUAUAUAAUAUCAUAAUGGUUAUAUCAAUAUAUCUCAUAAAAUUUGAAUUAUAUAAAAAUUUAAUCAUAUAUAUUUUUAUAAUUAUUUUAUAUUAAGUAAAACUUAAAACCAAACAAGGUUUCGUAAACUUUAUUUUUUAAUCAAACGCACUAAAAAAUAAAUAUAGGAAGUAUGAAUUUUGAAUUUCGGAAUUGACGAAGACAGACAAAAGUAAAAAAAAAAAAAAUUUGAUUAAAAAAAUAAUUGAUAACUUAAUUUUAGAAAUCUAACUUUUCGUGGUUUUAUGGUCUCAUUUACAUAUAUUAUAAAAAUAACAUUUCUAUUAAAACAUAUGUAAAUAUUUAAAAUAAUUAAAGAUAUUUGUAUAAAAAAUAGAAUACUCUUCAAACAAAAACAUAAAAAAAAAAAAAAAAAGAGGUUAAAUUCAUACAUACGAAGAUGUUCGUACCUUUUAACACAAUAGAAUAUAGGAAGCAAGAGCAUUACUACGUGGAAGGGUCGGGUCUAAAACCCUAGAUGGGGACCUCAUCCGCUAGUGGCCAACUCAACAUAACUAGAAAAAUCCACGGCAUGGAGAAGGCCUAGUCCAUUGGACCUGGUCGAUCCCAUUUGCUGAGGGUAGGAGCCCGGCUAAUAAAUCGAGUUGACCGAUUAGCCCGCCUCAAAAAAGACAGGACACGCUGCAUGAGAGCAAUUGUGGUCGAAGUUUCAAACGCCGUGCUUAAAAUGACACCCCUUCAGCUAUUUAUAGUGCCUAUUGAAUGUCACAAAAGAAGCUCUUGCGUGUCACAAUCAUGAAUGCUAGGUGUCAUAAUAUCAUACGUCGGCAGAACCGCCCGGUUGAGUGUAAUAAUCUAAUUGCCCUCUAAGGAAGUUGUGUGUAACAAUAUGAUUGGCUUGAGGAAGCUGUUAGGUGUGCCGUGAUUAAGGAUUGUCCACGUGUCAAUCUAUGAUUGGUAAAAAAAGGCGGUGCACUUGGUUGGUCGGUUUGGAGGUGAAGUAUGAUUGGUCGGUUUGUUGGCAACCAUUCAUUGAUUCGUGCAUGCUAGCACCGUCUGAUUGGUCGGUUGAGGGAGUUUACUCCAAGGAGGAGGUGUUAAUGCAUCGUUCGCUAACAAAGGAGUUGCGAAAGUCUAUAAAUGAUGUACUAGGCUCCUCUUUAACAACCGUGGAAGAAACUUGAGAGCUCUAGAAAAUGGUAAAAUUUGAAAAGAAGUUUUUUUUUUUUUUUUUUAACUAAAAGUUAAAAAACAAAUAAUAAUUCAGUAAUGUUGAUAAAUCAACUUAAUAACUUAAUUUAACUUAUUAAAUAAAUUAAGUAUAUAUAUUUAAUAAAAUAACUUAAUAAUAUGAUUUAAAAAAAAAACUUUAAAUAAUAAGUAAAAAUAAUUAAUUUAUUGUUAAGUAUAUAUUUUUAUUCUAAUUUAUUCUAAUUACCUUCAUGAUCUUUUUUGCUAUUUCAAGAUCUAUAUUAUUAGUCAAUUUCCUUUAUCUUAGUUAUAAUUUAUAAGGAUAAAUAUGUUAAUUUAAUAAUUUAUAAUAAAUUUUAUCAAAUAAUCUUAAUAUUUAAAAUAAAAGUUAAUUAAUAAAUUUUAAGUUAAUGACUUAAGUAUAAUUUAAUUUAAAAUUAAAUUAAGUAAUUAAAUAAUAAAUAUUAAAUUUUAUUAAACACUCUCUUUCAUUCAAGGAUGUCUUGAGAGUACAGGUCACAUAAAAGUUUGAAGUUUUUAAGGUACAUGACACCAUGGUGUAGGACCACGGAUUAUCACUUUUAUUAAACGCCCUCUUGGUCUUUCAAGGAUGUCUUGAGAGUAUAGGCCACAUAAAAGUUUGAAGUUUUUAAGGUACACGACACCGUAGUGUAGGGCCACGGAUUGUCACCUACCAUUGACAAACCCACAUCGGUAUAAAAGAUUAUUAUUUGUCUUCAUGCCCUUCUUCUAUAACAUGAAUUUAAUCAUAAUCUAGCUAUAUUUCUAACACAUCUUACACCAAAUCCUUUAAUAAAUAUUUUAAAAACAUUGAAGACAAAAUGUUGGAAGUAAUCUAUUUGUGUGUGCUUGUAAACAUUGAAGCUCUUUUAGGAUAGCUUCUCAAAUGCUAUAAACAAUUUUUCUAAAUGCAGUUUUGAAGUUCAAAUGUAAUUUGUAAUAGUGUUUGAUUAUAAUUUUAACGAGGACAAUCAUUUAUUGAUGUAUUUUUUUUUUGUAUUUUAAAGGAUUAAAUAGACGUGUUUUUCCUCAACUACAUUAUGGAAAUUAAGUAGAUUUUUAAUUAAUUAAUUAAUUUUAAAAUAUCACCUAAUCUUUAGGAAAAAUAUUUUUAAGAUAUAACUUUUAAAUAUUAAAUUUAAUCAUACUACAAUAAUAAAAUUUCCAUGGAUAGUGAUUGUGCAUGGGAUUACAUUCAUUCCAAUAUUAUUUCAAAAUUGAUUUAUAGUGUUGUAGACCUAUAUUUUUCAUGUGCGUCGAGCGGCAAUACUCGCUUUUUAUUUGGUGAAAAAUAUGAUAUUUUUUUUAAAAAAAGUUGAGUUGUUACUUAUUUUAAUUUUUUUUAAAAGUGAAAACAAAAUAAGAAAUAAAUCUAUAUGCAACUUCUUAUUUGGAAAAGACAUAUAUGCAAAAUUCGAGUUUGAAUUCGAGAAUCAAGUUACCUAUUGGAAAUGUACGGUAAUGAGCCGAAGUACCCCUCUAAGUUCGCAUACGUAUGAUCUAUACUAAACGAGUGGAUGAAACUAUAACAAUUAAUUAAUUAAUAUCAAGAUUAAAGACAUAAAUCAAUAUACACAAAAAUGACAAUAAAAUCAAAUUAAAAAAAUGCACAAAAUAAAUUAUAAGGGGAUUAUGUAAAUUGAUUUAUCAAACUAAUUAAAAAAAUAAAUUUCAAAAAAUUAUUUUUUUAAGAAAUUCCAAAGAAGUUUAUUAAAAACAAUUUUGAAUAAAUGAUUUCAGUUUAUUUAUUUAAAAAAAAAAGUUUCAAUUUAUUUAUUUUAAAAAAAGUUUCAAUUUAUUUCCAACAGUGAUUUGAUCCAAUUUUAUUUAUAUUCAGUUUUUUUUUCAAGAAAAUUAGUUAUAGUCAUUGUUAUUAAAGGAAUUUAUUAAAAAUAAUUUCAUUAAAAAAAAGAAUUUGAUUUACAAAAUAUUUCAAUUUUAUUUCUAUAUAGAAAAGUGUUUUUUUACAAAUUAAUUAGAAAAAUAUUUUUUUAAACAAAAGAUUGUUUCUUACAAAAAAAAUAUUUCAAUUUGACAUUAUUUACAAAAGAAAUGAUUUUUUUUUUUAAAAUUUCAUUUACAAAAACAACUUUCAAUCCAAUUUUAUUAAGAAAAUGUUUUUUACAACUUUAAUUUGAAAAAAAUGACUUUCAUUCUAUUCUCAUUAAAAGGUUAUUUAAGACUUUCAUUUACAAAAAUUACUUUUAAUCCCAUUCUAAUUAAGGAUAUAAAAUUUAUUUUAAAAAUAAUUUUUGUGCAAUUUUAUUAAAAAUUAACUUUUUGGACAAUUUUAUUUACAAAACAAUUUUUUUGGGACAAUUUUUGUUAAACAAAUAAUUUUUUGGAAAAUUAUUACUAAAAACAAUUUUUUGAAUUCCUAUUAAAAACAAUUUUCUAAUUCAUCUAAUAACAUUUCUUAGAAUUUUUUUAUUUAUUAAAACAUGGUUAUUGAAUUGUUUCUUUCAUUAAAACAAAAUAUCUGAACAAUCAGAUGUUCAAUUUUGUGUACACCCAAUAAAUAUAUAAAAAAUAUUUAUAGAAACUAAUAAGAAAAAAAACUAAAUAGAAGUGAGGAAAUAAAAUAUGUACCUAAACAAGCUUAUAAUAAGCUCAAUGUCUUUCUACAAUUUUCCAAGCCUCAUUUUAUUCUAUAAAAUUCAAUGCUCCACGUGUUAUAAAUUCAUAUCCAACCAAUAGAAUUUCAAUGCAAGUAGUGGAAUGUGCAUAUGAAAAAACAAAAAUAGUCCAAAUGUAAAUAUAAAAAAAUGUACAAAAUUUAAAACAAAUAUUCAAGCCAAAAUUCAAAUUUCAAAUUAAUCCAAUAAAUUUCACAAAUUAAAAUGAGCUUAAAUUAACAAAUAUAACCCAAUAAAAAUACCCCUACCUUCUUCCAAAAUUUCCAAAUUAAUAACUAAAAUACAAACAAAAUCAACCAAACCCAAUUUAUGUUAACCCGAAUUCACAACCAAAACAAAGCCCAAAUAUAACAAAACAAAAUAAAUUUAACUAGACCUAAAUUCAAUAUUGUCAUAAUCCUAACCUAAUUUAAUAAACAAACUCAAAUCCAAUAAUCACUAAAUCCAAAUAAAACAUAAACUAGCAAACCUAAAUUAUAAAUACAAAUCAAAAUACAAGGUCUAAAUUAAUACUAAAAAUGUCCAAACUUAACCUAAAGAUUACAAAAAAUAUUCCAAUCAAGUAAAUGAAUACCCAAAAAUAAUAAAAAUUAGCUCAAACAAACAAUCUCAAUAAUCAAGAAUAAAUUACCAUAGAAAUUUAAAAAUAAAAAUAAAAAUAAAAUAAAAUAAAAAUAAAAGGAAAUAAACUUACCCAAAUUUGAAGAAACCAUUGAAUGAAGUUUGUUCAAGGAUGACAGUGUUGAGAGAGGAAAAUGAGAAUAAAAAAAAAAAAAAUGAAAGAAAAUGAAAGGGGAAAAGAGAUAAAAUGGUGAGAUGGGUGGAAGGGGAGAAUAGGAGGGAGAAGGGGGGUCACCAUCUGGCAGUGUCUCGUCGACCACAGCUACCCGACUGUGUUACUGGCAAUAAGGGUUGAGUGAGUGUGGUGAGGGAAAAAGGAAGAGGAAAAAAUGAAGAAAAAGGAAGAGAAAAAAAAAAAAAAAGAAAGAAGAGAGGAGAGUAAAAAU
rnacentral:lncRNA from 1 species